UUUAAUUGGAAAAGUAAUUAAAAUCCCCUUUUCCUUUUCGGGCCGAAACUGGAAAGGUUCACCUUUAGUUCUCGGCCCAUUCUCCCUCCCUUUCGGCUGGCCUUAUCCCUCCUCCGAAGUCCAUUUCAGGUCCCUCCUUCAAUCCGGCCUAGUAGAGGAUGCUCUCGGAGAAAGUCUGCUUUACGUCCCUCGCUACUGUUCAUCUUCAACCUCAGGACAGCCGAACUGAGACCGAGUUGGCUCGGUUUUUCUCCUCCGAAUCCGGCCUUAUCUCUCGUGUUUUCCGAAAAUUAGUUGAGGGGACUUGUUUCCUUAUCCUCCUCUAUCUCUUUCCCCAAAAAUCCGGUUUUAUCCCUUUGAAUUCGACGCGAAUUUGGAUUCGUUUUCGAGUUUAUCUCUCCACCAAACCCUAGGUUUUCCCGACGCGAUUCCUUGCGUUCCAAGCCCGAUAUCUCUCUCCCGUGGCUAUAAAUAGAACCCCCAAGCUCUCCUCUUUCGUUUCCAACCCCUAGCUCGAGCUCCCGUGCCCUAGCCGUCUCUCCCUGCGAGUCCCUCUCUCUCCAGCGCCGCCACCAUCUCCAGCAGCGCCGCGCCGCCUCUCUGGUCAACGCCGCCUUGAGCCGUCGCCUCCCUCGGCUUCGCAAGGGUCAGCUCUACCCCGGCCACCGGUUCUUUUGCGCCAAAUCCCGCCGGGAGAUUGCCGUCACCGUGAACCAGUGGGUUGCCGCCUUGUUUUGAUCUCCGGCGAAGCCUCCUCAUCGACCCCAAGGUCGCCGGACCUCGCCGCAGCCUCCCUCGGCAUCGCAGCUGCGAGGAGAACCCCGUCCACCCCUCGGUUGUCGUCUCCCGUCGCUGAAACUCCGCCGCCACCAUCGAUCGGUACCCCGUCGUCACUCCCGAUCUCAUCGCCAGCCGUUUUUCAUCGUCGUGCCGCCCCUCACUUGUUGUUUCCGUCGUUGCGAAGGUUCGUGAGUGCGUCGGAAGUGUUCAAGAAGAUUAAUUGAAGACCGAUUAUUGCAAGGCAAGUCACACAGAUCUCAAACAACCCUUUGAGCAUGUUGAACCUAUCUAAAGCUAUUGUUUUAUUUCAACUUAUGCAUUAUUUUCGAAUGUCAUCGGGUGGUGAGCCAUUCCCAAUUAAUUAUGGCCGAAGAUGACUUUAUUUUCCUAUGGGUAAUAAAUUGAUUAGCUUGGACUUUAUAUAUUGGAUUGGUUCAGCUAAAUGCUAUAUAUAUAAUUGCUUAGCCAUAAAUGAGAUGAAUCACACUACAUUGUUACUUAUGGUUAUAUUUAAUGGUAGCUCACGAUGGUUAAUUGUGUUAUGAUAAUUAAUUGAUAAUUAAAACUUGAUAAUGGUGGGUUGUGAGCACAUGGUUUUGAAGGUCGUGCUCAUGACAAUUAAGGAACGGUUCACGAGCUAUUGUUGUGAAAUAUUUACCGUGCCAAGCACAAGCCAGCGUGGGCAACGGAUUUACCUUUCGUAUAGCAUGGUUCAUUGCGGGGCACCAGACUGAGAAGCGGCGAGAAGUCCAUGAGGGUCGCUGGGGAGUCCAUGCCUCUGGUUGUAGAGGGGGUGAUUAUGAUCCAGGAAUGGUGCACUGUGGUGAGUUGUGUUGUGCGAGGGGUACUGUCACAGUUCCUUUCCAAGGUACCGUGGUGGUAUUGAGGCGCAUGGUGACAUGUCGUGGAGCUGUGUCUUGUGGGUACAGUGGUGAUACACCUCUGGCCAGAGUAAAACUAUUCGAAUAGCCGUGCCCGCGAUCAUGGGCAGGUUGAACAAUGUUUUUCGUGAUUAGUCUCACACCUCUCACAGUAAUUAUUGAUGCUAUAACUGGUAAUAAUUUGCUUAGCUCCUGGUUUGGAGUUAGAUCUAUACAGCCGGGUAUGGUUGUUCAGGAUGGUUGGGCCUGAGCAGCAUGGGUGUGCUGUUCAGUGUUGAAUAACAUUGAUUAAUUACUCUACUAUUUUUCAAUUCUCAAAUGUUUGCUAAAUGCUGCUUUUGCAAAUGAGUCUAUAUUAUGCCAUCUUUUGGUAUCCUUGUGCACUUGCAUAUUUGCUGUGUGGCUUGCAGAGUAUGUCAUAUGCUCACCUUGCAAUAAUCAAUCAACCUCAGUUGAAGAAAAGGAUCCAGAAGAAGACGUUUGGCUUAUACCCCAGUUGAGCUGCCUGUGGGAGUGGAGCUGAAGCCAUCGCUAGACCGUUAUUCCGCUGCUGAUUUUCUUUUGUUUUUAAAAAUUAAUUGAUGUCAUGUGGCACCAUCUCUACAAUGUUGGAUCCGCCCUCAUGGUUUCUUAUGAGUUUGAUCUCCUCAAUAAUAUGAAAGGAGCGUGGUACUCACGUGUUCGAAGGAACUGCAUAUACAAAUGAAAGUACGCGUUGAUGCGUCCUGGAGGAAUGGUGGUCUUGCAUACCGCUGGAUUAGGAGGUCAAAUAAUAGGUGGCAUGAGUUAAAGUUAGAUCAUUUUCGGCUAUUUAUUCUACUCCUUCCGUUCCACAAUGUAAGUCAUUCUAGCAUUAACAUUAAUAUAAAUGUGAGAAAUGCUAGAAUGACUUACAUUGUGAAACGGAGGAAGUAGAUGACAAGCCUUUACUGCGACUAGAUUGGUUUUUAUGGUUCAUGUUAUAUUAAGGUUUUUGUUACAACAAAUUUAGGCUCAAUGAUUAUUUAACAGCAUUUUACGCAUUUUACGCAAUGUAAUUUAAUAUGUCUGUUUAUUUUUUUCCCGUUGCAAUGCACGGGCACCCAACUAGUAGAGAUACCAAAUUAAUAAUGUGAACACAUGUUGGGGAACAUGU